rnacentral:rRNA from 1 species
GAAUAUUGCACAAUGGGCGCAAGCCUGAUGCAGCAACGCCGCGUGCGCGACGAAGGCCUUCGGGUCGUAAAGCGCUUUUCGGGGAGAUGAGUACGGACAGUAUCCCCGGAAGAAGGAUCGGCUAACUACGUGCCAGCAGCCGCGGUAAAACGUAGGAUCCGAGCGUUAUCCGAAUUCACUGGGCGUAAAGCGCAUGCAGGCGGCCGCACAAGUUGGAUGUGAAAUCUCCCGGCUCAACUGGGAGGGGACGUUCAAAACUGUGCGGCUCGAGGGCGGUAGAGGAAGGUAGAAUUCCCGGUGUAGUGGUGAAAUGCGUAGAUAUCGGGAGGAAUACCCGUGGCGAAGGCGACCUUCUGGACCGUUUCUGACGCUCAGAUGCGAAAGCUAGGGGAGCGAACGG